GGAUGCAGUAAACCUUCAAAAUCAAGCAGUUGAAAAUGAAACAGAAGAGAGUAUUAAAGUACAAGAUUUAACGAAUUCUAUUGACGAAUUGAAAAAUAUAAACGAUCAGCCAACAAAAGAAAUUAAGGAGUUGAAAGAAAGUGCAGCCCUCGC